GACGAACGCUGGCGGCGUGCCUAAUACAUGCAAGUAGAACGCUGAUGAGAGGAGCUUGCUCUUCUUGGAUGAGUUGCGAACGGGUGAGUAACGCGUAGGUAACCUGCCUUGUAGCGGGGGAUAACUAUUGGAAACGAUAGCUAAUACCGCAUAACAAUGGAUGACACAUGUCAUUUAUUUGAAAGGGGCAAUUGCUACACUACAAGAUGGACCUGCGUUGUAUUAGCUAGUAGGUGAGGUAAUGGCUCACCUAGGCGACGAUACAUAGCCGACCUGAGAGGGUGAUCGGCCACACUGGGACUGAGACACGGCCCAGACUCCUACGGGAGGCAGCAGUAGGGAAUCUUCGGCAAUGGGGGCAACCCUGACCGAGCAACGCCGCGUGAGUGAAGAAGGUUUUCGGAUCGUAAAGCUCUGUUGUAAGUCAAGAACGGGUGUGAGAGUGGAAAGUUCACACUGUGACGGUAGCUUACCAGAAAGGGACGGCUAACUACGUG
rnacentral:rRNA from 1 species